CCAGACUCCUACGGGAGGCAGCAGUGGGGAAUAUUGCACAAUGGGGGAAACCCUGAUGCAGCGACGCCGCGUGAAGGACGAAGUAUUUCGGUACGUAAACUUCUAUCAGCAGGGAAGAAAAUGACGGUACCUGACCAAGGAGCCCCGGCUAACUACGUGCCAGCAGCCGCGGUAAUACGUAGGGGGCAAGCGUUAUCCGGAUUUACUGGGUGUAAAGGGAGCGUAGACGGCCAUGCAAGUCUGAUGUGAAAACCCGGGGCUCAACCCCGGGACUGCAUUGGAAACUGUGCGGCUGGAGUGUCGGAGAGGCAACUGGAAUUCCUAGUGUAGCGGUGAAAUGCGUAGAUAUCAGGAGGAACACCGGUGGCGAAGGCGGCUUACUGGACCAUAACUGACGUUGAGGCUCGAAAGCGUGGGGAGCGAACAGGAUUAGAUACCCUAGUA
rnacentral:rRNA from 1 species